UACAGAGGUGGCAAGCGUUGUUCGGAAUUACUGGGCGUAAAGGGCGCGUAGGCGGCCUUCUAAGUCAGACGUGAAAUCCCCCGGCUUAACCUGGGAACUGCGUCUGAUACUGGGAGGCUUGAGUAUGGGAGAGGGAUGUAGAAUUCCAGGUGUAGCGGUGAAAUGCGUAGAUAAUCUGGAGGAAUACCGGUGGCGAAGGCGGCAUCCUGGACCAUUACUGACGCUGAGGCGCGAAAGCUAGGGGAGCAAACGGGG
rnacentral:rRNA from 1 species